UACAGAGGUCUCAAGCGUUUGUUCGGAUUCAUUGGGCGUAAAGGGUGCGUAGGCGGCGCGGUAAGUCGGGUGUGAAAUCUUGGAGCUUAACUCCGAAACUGCAUUCGAUACUGCCGUGCUUGAGGACUGGAGAGGAGACUGGAAUUUACGGUGUAGCGGUGAAAUGCGUAGAUAUCGUAAGGAAGACCAGUGGCGAAGGCGGGUCUCGUGGACAGUUCCUGACGCUGAGGCACGGAAGGCCCAGGGGGAGC
rnacentral:rRNA from 1 species